GAUGAACGCUGGCGGCGUGCCUAAUACAUGCAAGUCGAGCGAACGGACGAGAAGCUUGCUUCUCUGAUGUUAGCGGCGGACGGGUGAGUAACACGUGUAUAACCUACCUAUAAGACUGGGAUAACUUCGGGAAACCGUAGCUAAUACCGGAUAAUAUUUUGAACCGCAUGGUUCAAAAGUGAAAGACGGUCUUGCUGUCACUUAUAGAUGGAUCCGCGCUGCAUUAGCUAGUUGGUAAGGUAACGGCUUACCAAGGCAACGAUGCAUAGCCGACCUGAGAGGGUGAGCGGCCACACUGGAACUGAGACACGGACCAGACUCCUACGGGAGGCAGCAGUAGGGAAUAUUCCGCAAUGGGCGAAAGCCUGACGGAGCAACGCCGCGUGAGUGAUGAAGGUCUUCGGAUCGUAAAACUCUGUUAUUAGGGAAGAACAUAUGUGUAAGUAACUGUGCACAUCUUGACGGUACCUAAUCAGAAAGCCACGGCUAACUACGUG
rnacentral:rRNA from 1 species